GUCGAACGCUGAAGCCGUCUUCGGGACGGUGGAUGAGUGGCGAACGGGUGAGUAACACGUGGGUAAUCUGCCCUGUACUCUGGGAUAAGCCUGGGAAACUGGGUCUAAUACCGGAUAGGACACGCUACCGCAUGGUGGUGUGUGGAAAGCUUCGGCGGUACAGGAUGAGCCCGCGGCCUAUCAGCUAGUUGGUGGGGUGAUGGCCUACCAAGGCGACGACGGGUAGCCGGCCUGAGAGGGUGACCGGCCACACUGGGACUGAGACACGGCCCAGACUCCUACGGGAGGCAGCAGUGGGGAAUAUUGCACAAUGGGCGGAAGCCUGAUGCAGCGACGCCGCGUGGGGGAUGACGGCCUUCGGGUUGUAAACCCCUUUCGCCCGGGACGAAGCGAGAGUGACGGUACCGGGAGAAGAAGCACCGGCCAACUACGUGCCAGCAGCC
rnacentral:rRNA from 1 species